AUUGAACGCUGGCGGCAGGCCUAACACAUGCAAGUCGAGCGGAUGAAGGGAGCUUGCUCCUGGAUUCAGCGGCGGACGGGUGAGUAAUGCCUAGGAAUCUGCCUGGUAGUGGGGGAUAACGUCCGGAAACGGGCGCUAAUACCGCAUACGUCCUGAGGUAGAAAGUGGGGGAUCUUCGGACCUCACGCUAUCAGAUGAUCCUAGGUCGGAUUAGCUAGUUGGUGGGGUAAAGGCCUACCAAGGCGACGAUCCGUAACUGGUCUGAGAGGAUGAUCAGUCACACUGGAACUGAGACACGGUCAAGACUCCUACGGGAGGCAGCAGUGGGGAAUAUUGGACAAUGGGCGAAAGCCUGAUCCAGCCAUGCCGCGUGUGUGAAGAAGGUCUUCGGAUUGUAAAGCACUUUAAGUUGGGAGGAAGGGCAGUAAGUUAAUACCUUGCUGUUUUGACGUUACCAACAGAAUAAGCACCGGCUAACUUCGUG
rnacentral:rRNA from 1 species